rnacentral:rRNA from 1 species
GACAGAGGGGGCAAGCGUUGCUCGGAAUCACUGGGCGUAAAGGGCGCGUAGGCGGCCACCGCAAGUCGACUGUGAAAUCUCCGGGCUUAACCCGGAAAGGUCAGCCGAUACUGCGGGGCUAGAGUGCAGAAGGGGCAACUGGAAUUCUCGGUGUAGCGGUGAAAUGCGUAGAUAUCGAGAGGAACACCUGCGGCGAAGGCGGGUUGCUGGGCUGACACUGACGCUGAUGCGCGAAAGCUAGGGGAGCGAACGGG